rnacentral:tRNA from 1 species
AAAAAUUUAGUUAAACCUAUAACAUAAGCUUGUCAAGCUUAAAUUAUUAUCAUAUAAUAAUUUUUA